UUCCAGCAUGAAAUUUAAUUAGUAUUUCUCUUUUCUCUCUCAAUCCAUAUGUAAAUUGAAUCAUUUUUUCCUCUGUAAACAAACUAAUUUUUCACGUAUAGAGAGAAUAAUUUAAGAGAUGAAAGAAAAAUAUUAACUAAGCAUCAUGCGAGAACUG
rnacentral:pre_miRNA from 1 species